rnacentral:sRNA from 1 species
CCUAGGAUUGUCAAGGAGUUUUCAUCUCCCAAGUUAUUUACAGCAAAAAUGAGAAAGCUCUCAGAGAAUGCGACUAUACAACUUGAUGUUGUAGAGGCAGAGACAGAGGAGAUAACCCAGGGAAACACACUCCUUCGGGCCAGGAGAACCACCAAGCGGUUAUCUGUGACAUCUCUUCCUUCAGGACUGCAAAAGGGGCCAUAUUCGCCAAAAAAGAGACCACACUUUCCAGCACUUAAAAAAAAGAAGCGUGGCAUGGAAAACAUCCUUCGAAAAUCAGAUUUGACAGUAGGAAAGCUUCAAAUGCAGGUGGAUGACCUCAUAGAAACAGUGACUGAUAAAUCCAUGAAGCUACUGGCCCAAAGACAUGCUGAGCUUCAACAGUGUGAGUUUCUGGGGGAUGAAAUUCUUCAGUCUUCUAAACAGUUCCAGAGGAUAUCCAAGAGAACCAUGAGGAAGUAUAAAUUAAAAAAUGUGUGUUUCCCAUGUACCUGCUGCUGCUUCUGACUUUGUUCCUGAUUCUUUAAAAGUUAUCUUCCCUAGGCUGGGCGUGGUGGCUCACGCCUGUAAUCUCAGCACUUUGGGAGGCCGAGCGAGUGGAUCACUUGAUGUCUGGAGUUCAAAACCAGCCUGGCCAACAUGGUGAAACCCUGUCUCUACUAAAAAUACAAAAAUUAUCCAGGAGUGGUGGCGGGCGCCUCUAAUCCCAGCUACUCGGGAGGCUGAGGCAGGAGAA